UACGUAGGGGGCAAGCGUUGUCCGGAUUUACUGGGCGUAAAGAGCGCGUAGGCGGAAGUUUAAGCGGUGCCUGAAAGCCCCCGGCUCAACCGGGGAGGGUGGUGCCGAACUGGGCUUCUUGAGGGCGAUAGAGGAGAGUGGAAUUCCGGGUGUAGCGGUGAAAUGCGUAGAGAUCCGGAGGAACACCAGUGGCGAAGGCGGGUCUCUGGGCCGUUACUGACGCUGAGGAGCGAAAGCGUGGGGAGCGAACAGG
rnacentral:rRNA from 1 species